GACGAACGCUGGCGGCGUGCUUAACACGUGCAAGUCGAACGAUGAAGCAGAGAAACGCGCACUUCGGUUCAAAUUUCACUUCGGAUUAGUGGCAGACGGUUGAGUAACGCGUGAGCAACCUACCUCUUACAAAGGGAUAGCCUCGGGAAACCGUGAUUAAUACCAUAUGACACAUUCAUAAGGCAUCUUAAGAAUGUUAAAGCUACGGCGGUAAGAGAUGGGCUCGCGUCCCAUUAGCUAGUUGGUGAGGUAACGGCCCACCAAGGCGACGAUGGGUAACCGGCCUGAGAGGGUGAACGGUCACAUUGGAACUGAGACACGGUCCAAACUCCUACGGGAGGCAGCAGUGGGGAAUAUUGCACAAUGGAGGGAACUCUGAUGCAGCGACGCCGCGUGAGCGAUGAAGGAAUUCGUUUCGUAAAGCUCUGUUCUAUGGGAAGAAAAGGACUGUACCAUAGGAGAAAGCCCCGGCUAAAUACGUG
rnacentral:rRNA from 1 species